CAGGAAGUGUCGUUUUCAAGCUGGACUGGUGCAGAGAGAGAAACAUGCGCACAGAUCAAUAAACGGGAUUAUAACAGACCCGCAUAUAACAAAUAUCAGUAUUUAACGCUUUAUAGAAACAGGUGGUGGCGCCAUGGCACCGCUGUUUCUUCCUCGUCUAGUCAGCUCCCUGACCCGGCAGCUGUCUCAUGUUGUGAAGUUUGCGGCUGCCAGCUCCUUACCUGCAGCGAGUGCCCAGCGCUGCAUCUCCACUGUCACAGCUGCUUUGGCUCCAGCCAGAGGAAUCUUCAGCCCUGUUCAGGGUCUGCGCAGCCCACUCUGCUCACCUUUGGUUGGACAGUGUCAGCAGCUCCUGUGUGUGCAGCCUUCUGCCGGCAUGAAAACCAAAACAGCGCUGAAGAAACGCUGCAAAGACUGCUUUUUUGUUCGCCGCAGAGGACGGCUGUUUGUUUAUUGCAAAACCCACCCAAGACACAAACAACGGCAGGGAUGAGUUUCUUCUGGUUGAUCCCACUCUUUGUUGUAUUUCACUUCUUUUCUGUAAUAAUAAAGAUAUGUGUAUCACUGUAA